CCCAGUGGCGCAGGCGCGUAGCCAGCCCGACAAUUUAGUCCUGCUAUGCAAAUUCAAAAUUAUUAUCAUUAUUCAUUUCAGUUUGGAAAUUCGGAUUGUUUUCACAGUCAAUGAACUGCAUGAAAAUAUUUGCAUAGUGUAUAGUGAGUCGUCGGGCUGGUUACACUACUGUGAAUACCACAAACCUCCGAUUAUAAGCCCUGGACUUAUGUACACGGGGAGAGGCUUAUAUUUUUACGGGGGGCUAAUAUUUUUAUUUAUAUACGGGGGCUUAUAUUUUUACGGGGUCGAGAGUGAGAACACGAUGUUCGAAUUUUUUCAUUAUGUUACAUUAUGCGUUUAUGCGUAAGUUUUAGAAGAGAAUAAAAAGAAUUGAUUGAUGUGAUUUCCAAAUUGCUUUUGAUUCUCUAAUUACAACUGUCAAAAGUUCAGAAAUUGAAUAUAUUCUGCUACUUUGAGGUAACUGCCGCAGGAAAGGGAAAAAUUCGAUGUUCGUUUUCAAUGGAUAAUAGCUUUGGAAAGGAAAAUAAAGUAACGUUCUGGCUUGUCUGCCAUUUUGAGGAGUUAUUGUGUCAAGAUCUUUAAACCUCACUGUCAAUAUUCUAUUAAAAGGUACAGCCGUCGUGUUGUUCAAGCUAGAACUAUGUUAACAUGCUUACAAAAUUUAUCUUAUUAUAUUAAUUCCUCGAUAAUGGUGUUAAAAUUUCUUCCUGGUUCAUUCAAGCCGUUUGGACAAUUUCAAUCAACACGUGUUGUAAGAGUGAAAAUUAACAACAACUUUUAUUUAUCACGAUGCGAUCGAUGUCUGUUAUAUCAUUUCGGUUCAUUCGGAUAAUUAGGUAAAGGGAGAUGACGUUACAGAUAAUUAUAACGCUAAAAUUGAUGUGGUCAUGUUGUAAUGAUUAGUGUGAAAUAUCCAGAGCGGAAUUAGAUUCAGACUAUUUCUUUUUGUGAAAAUUCACCUUGCUUCUGAGCUAUGAUUUCUGGAACACGAUUGGCCCCUUCAUGAGUGCAAUUUGACAGUGACAAAAAUGGUCGUGAAGUUAUAUAGUUGUGCCGUAACUACUGAGACCAUAUUUCAACUCUUCAGUCCAAAGGCCCAACGAAAGUUUUCCAUUUUUCAAGAGGUUCAAAAAGAUAUAUCCUUACAAUCAUCUGGACCCCACUCGCAUCCUAAUUAUAAACAGUUCUUUAUAUCCAUGAGUAUCCCCAUAAAAAAUUGAAAAGAAGUAAUAAGGAUAUACAUAUCUAUUUUUUCAGCCACUAACUAUAAUCAAUGGACUCAUGAACAGGAAACGUAAUAAUGUCAGAGUUGUAAAUUUCUUCUUUCUUUGGUCACGAAAGUGGGGAAUGAAACUUCUUAUCACCUAAAAUUAUGAGAACAUCUCAAAAAAUCCAUAACACUCGUAAACGUAAACAGAAAGAACUUGAAAAUCCAAAAAGUCUUUAAAAACUCACCGAUUUGUUUAAAUCACUAAUAUCUUUCGUCUUUUAAUUCGUUUGAAAAAGUAGAACAUCAAAAACCUAAGCCCUGGUUUCCAUAUGGUCGUAACGGUCGUAAAGAUCAAGUGACGAUCUUUCUCAUCAGCCGAAAUACAACAUUUUAGAACUGAAAAUAUGACUAUAACUGGAGAAUACUUAUGAUUUGUAUGUGAUUUACAGGUAUAAACUAUUAUAAACUGGCCAAAAAACGUCAACCCAGAUCCAAAAAACGUCAACCCAGAUACACACAUUCAUCACACACGAAAAAUUUAACAUACCUUACCUUGUAAAGUUGUUUGCAACUAGUUCUAAUCAACUAGUUCUCCUAAAAGAAUGGGUCGUCGUCGGGCCAGGCUCUUUAAGUCUAUCGGCACGGAUGUGAUAAUGCCCCUUUUAUAAACCAUGAGAUGCACGGAGACAGAUGUAGGUGGUCACAUCCGUUCAGUCUGACAAUGUGCGUUAAACAUACACUGUUAAGACCUCUGCGGUGUUAAGAAGAGUCGCGAUGUUUACAUGUAAAGUUUUGGACUGUACACCAUUUAUAUGUUAUCCAGUGCGCGCGAUCAUAUAUGCUGUUAAGAUUAAAAGACCCAUCGUUUCAGUUGAUAUUAGGAGCUUUAGCAGCGACUAUACGGGUUCG
rnacentral:lncRNA from 1 species